rnacentral:rRNA from 1 species
GCCACUGAUUGUCCGGAAGCAAAUAAUGGAAAUGGCAAUGGAAGCUUUGGGAAGAAGCCAAACCCUUUCAACAGGGGACAAGUGAACCACGUCGACGUGGAGGAGGUAGAAGCCCAGCCUGAUGCAGUAAUAGGUAAGUUUUUGGUUAAGUCAUUUACUGCAAUCGUUCUUUUCGAUACUAGUGCAUCGCAUUCAUACAUAUCAAGGGGAUUUGUGGAUAAGUAUAAGUUGCCCACCAAAGUUCUUAGAACACCUAUGUUUGUAAGCUCGCCAGGAGCAGAGUAUAUGGUAAGCGAAGGAUUUUUUCAGAUGCCAUUGGCCAUAGUUAGGCAUGUUUUCCCCUCAAACUUGAUA